UGAAUACGAGAUGCUACGGCGUCGAAGCAGUCUAUGUCAUACUUCCAAGAAAAGCUUGCACUGUCAUAAACAAAUAAUGCCUGUACCAUAACCGACACAGGUGGGUAGGUAGAGUAUACUAAGGGGCGCGAGAUAACUCUCUCUAAGGAACUCGGCAAAAUGACUCCGUAACUUCGGGAGAAGGAGUGCCUUAUUUAUAAGGUUGCAAUAACAAGAUCCAAGCAACUGUUUACCAAAAACACAGGUCUCCGCUAAGUCGUAAGACGAUGUAUGGGGGCUGACGCCUGCCCAGUGCCAGAAGGUUAAAGAAGUUGGUUAGCAUCCGCGAAGCUGAUAACUGAAGCCCUGGUGAACGGCGGCCGUAACAAUAACGGUCCUAAGGUAGCGAAAUUCCUUGUCGGGUAAGUUCCGACCCGCACGAAAGGCGUAAUGAUUUGGAUACUGUCUCGGAGAGGGGCUCGGUGAAAUAGACUUGUCUGUGAAGAUGCGGACUACCUGCACCAGGACAGAAAGACCCUAUGAAGCUUUACUGUAACCUGAAAUUGAAAUUGGACUUUACUUGCGCAGUAUAGGUGGGAGGCGUUGAGAAUAUUCUUGCGGGAUUAUUGGAGCCAUCAGUGAGAUACCACUCUUGUAAUGUUAGAUUUCUAACUUUGUAUCAUUAUCUGGUCAAAGAACAGUUUCAGGCGGGCAGUUUGACUGGGGCGGUCGCCUCCUAAACGGUAACGGAGGCGCACAAAGGUUUCCUCUGAACGGGUAGAAAUCGUAUCUAGAGUGUAAAGGCAUAAGGAAGCUUGACUGUGAGACCUACAAGUCGAGCAGGGACGAAAGUCGGUCUUAGUGAUCUGACGGUGCUGAGUGGAAAGGCCGUCACUCAACGGAUAAAAGUUACUCUAAGGAUAACAGGCUGAUCUCCCCCAGGAGUUCACAUCGACGGGGAGGUUUGGCACCUCGAUGUCGGCUCAUCGCAUCCUGGGGCGGUAGUACGUCCCAAGGGUUGGGCUGUUCGCCCAUGAAAGCGGUACGCGAGCUGGGUUCAGAACGUCGUGAGACAGUUCGGUCCAUAUCCGGUGUAGGCGUUAGAAUAUUGAGGGGAGCCUUCUUUAGUACGAGAGGACCGAGAAGGACAUACCUCUGGUGUACCAGUUAUCGUGCCAACGGUAAACGCUGGGUAGCUAUGUGUGGAGUGGAUAACCGCUGAAAGCAUCUAAGUGGGAAGCCCACCUCAAGAUAAGUA
rnacentral:rRNA from 1 species